rnacentral:rRNA from 1 species
GUGUCAGCAGCCGCGGUAAUACGUAGGGAGCAAGCGUUGUUCGGAUUUACUGGGCGUAAAGGGCGCGUAGGCGGCGUGUCAAGUCGAUUGUGAAAUCUCCGGGCUUAACUCGGAACGGCCAAUCGAUACUGACGUGCUAGAGUGCAGAAAGGGCAAUCGGAAUUCUUGGUGUAGCGGUGAAAUGCGUAGAUAUCAAGAGGAACACCUGAGGCGAAGGCGGGUUGCUAGGCUGACACUGACGCUGAGUGCGCGAAAGCCAGGGGAGCAAACGGGAUUAGAAACCCCUGUAGUCC